GACAUUUUGACAUUUCUCACUUUGGGGCAG
rnacentral:piRNA from 1 species